AGAGUUUGAUUACUGGCUCAGGAUGAACGCUGGCGGUGUGCCUAAUACAUGCAAGUCGAUCGGGCGUAGCAAUACGUCAGAGGCGUACGGGUGAGUAACACGUAGGUAACCUACCUUUAAGACUGGGAUACCCAGACGAAAGUUUGGCUAAUACCGGAUAACAACAUUUGAGACAUCUCUUUUGUUUGAAAGGCGCUGCAAGGCGCCACUUUUAGAUGGACCUGCGUCGCAUUAGCUAGUUGGUGAGAUAAAAGCCCACCAAGGCUGGGAUGCGUAGCCGAUCUGAGAGGAUGACCGGCCACAAUGGGACUGAGACACGGCCCAUACUCCUACGGGAGGCAGCAGUAGGGAGUUUUCGGCAAUGGGGGAAACCCUGACCGAGCAACACCGCGUGAGUGAUGAAAGGUCUUCGGAUCGUAAAGCUCUGUUACGAGGGACGAAUGAUCGCUUUAGGAAAUGAGAGCGGUUUGACGGUACCUCGCCAGAAAGCGACGGCUAACUACGUGCCAGCAGCUGC
rnacentral:rRNA from 1 species